AUGUUUAAUGAUGAACAGUUCAGUAUUAUGAGUGAUAUAUUUUACGAUGAGAACAAUAAGCAAAAUGCUAACAUAUAUAAUGAUGUUCAAGAUACUGAUAGUGCUAGUAGUGGUAAUAAUAAUGUUAACGACAAUAAUAAAUAUGAUGUGGAUAAAUCUGAUGUGGAUAUAUCUGAUGUGGAUAUAUCUGAUGUGGAUAGAACUUAUGUGGAUAUAUCUGAUAUGGAUAGAACUUAUGUGGAUAGAACUAAUGUGGAUAGAACUAAUGUGGAUAGAACUAAUGUGAAUAAUAAUGUUGACGAUGUUGUCAUUUUGCCCGAAACUGGAGAAAAAAUAUUAGGAUAUGUAGAACUAGAACUUACCUUAAAUCCCUAUUUAAAAUUUAGUGACUCCCAUUAUUUAGUAAGUGAAGUGUUGUAUAAAAAAAGUUUUUAUGAUGAAGACAAUAGUACAUAUGAUAUUUUUUCAUAUAAUGAUUAUAACCAGGAUAGAUAUUUUUUAACUGAACAACAUUUUUUUAUUAACGAUAUAACUGGAAAUGUCGACAAUAAUAAUACGGAGGAGGAAGGUAAGGGUGGUAAUAUAAUAAAUAAGGAUGCAAUAGCUAAUAAUAUAAUAAAUAAUAACAUGGCAAAUGACCGUAGAAAUAAUAACAAUAGAUAUAAAAAUAUUAACCGAAAAAAUAUAAUUAAGAAUAACAAAAGACCUAUUAGAAAUAAUGGUCCAAAUCGUAAUGAAAAUGGUGAUAAUAAUGAAGGUGGAAGAGGUAAUAGAAACAAUGAUAAUAGAAACAAUGAUAAUAGAAACAAUGAUAAUAGAAACAAUGAGAAUAGAAACAAUGAGAAUAGAAGAGAUAAUAGAAACAAUAAUAAUAGAAACAAUAAUAAUAGAAACAAUAAUAAUAGAAACAAUGAUGAUAGAAACAAUGAUAAUGGAGAUUACGAGCAGAAUGUCCAAAAUGGUAGAUAUAAUGGUGAAGAUAAUGCUAGGGAUAAUGGUAGAGAAGAUGCUAGAGAUAAUGGUAGAGAAAAUGUUGAAAAUAUUGUUCAAAAUGUUCAAAAUGUUCAAAAUGUUAUUCAAAAUGCUAACGUAGAGAAUAACUUAAAUGCUAAUCCAAACGGUUACCAUAUUGCAAACUUGAUUAAUAACGACGUCCUUGAAGAUAACCUUAGAAUGAACUUGCGAAACCAAAUAAAUAAUAACAAUGUUAGUGAUAAAAAUAAUAAAAAGCACAAUAAAAAAAACGACAGCAAUAAAAAAAAUGACAGAAAUGUUAAAAACGACUACGAGAAUCUUAAAAGCGCAGAAAAUAAUAGUGCGCCAACAAAUGAUCAAAGUAACACAUCAUAUAAUUUAAAAAAAUAUAAAACUGAAUCAGAGAUAAUAAAAUAUUUAAAUGAUAUAUUAAUAAAAGAUCAGAGCAUUUUUUGUAUUAUAUUAGUAAAAAUAAAUGAAGAAAAUGCAAAAAGAAAUAUAAUAAAUAAUAUUAUUAAAUUGGUAUCUAUGCCCAUUUAUUCAGAUUCUUUAUCUAAGUUUAAAUAUGAUGAACAAAAAAUUGUUCAUGAAGAUAUUAUUCAAUUUUUAGGAGAAUCAUACAAUGUUACCAAUAGUAAAUUAAAACGAAGAACUUUUUCAUUUGGUUAUAAAUUAAACAAACGAGAUUUAAAAUAUAUAGAAAAAUUACUAAUAGAUGAAUAUAAACUAGUUCAAAUUGUUUUCCAUAAUUCUAGUGUUAUACCUUUAGAAAAACGAUCAGGUUAUUAUACUUCUGCUGAAUUGUUUAGUUUAUUUGAAAGUAGAAUACACUACUAUGAAAAAUGGAAAGGGAAAAUUGUUUUUAUUAAAAAAAUGAAUCAGGAAGAUAUAGUGGCAACAAAUCAAUCUCAAUUAUUAAAAACAGAAGUAAAAACAGAAAAACGUUGGAUUAUAGUUUGCUAUACUUUAAUACCCAUUGUUAUUAUUAUCUUGUUAUUUUUUCUUUACAUUUUUUAUGUAGGAGGUAAAUUUAAAUUAACCACCUUCAUACAUAAUAUAACAAAAAAAAAAGUAAAAAAAAACAAAGUAGUAAAAACAGUUAUGAUUCUUAUAAUACCAAAUAUAAAACUUACAAAUACACUUCAGCCAUAA
ensembl:lncRNA